rnacentral:lncRNA from 1 species
ACCAAAUUUAUAAGUACUAACAAUAUAAGGCCAAGUAAGUACGAUAGCAAAGACGAUUCUAAAUCUUAUAUAAGUGCAUCACAGUGCUGAUAAAACACAGCACAUAAAAAACUCGAAACAAACAACUACCGUUGUAAACUCUAGCUAGGUUCUAUUAGAUGCUACAAUUACUUAUGCUGAGCACAUAGGCAACUGUUUUCACCUACAUCUGAUGCUAUGCAAUACGGUUGAAAUGUACCAUCUUCAAACCAGGUAGCACGCUUCUGCACAAGCUCGUUUAGAAAAUCAUCAAGCUUCUCAAUAGUGACGUUUGGCAUCACCACCACAUGAGCGAUGUUCCCCUUGCAUGCUAACUGCCACUUGCGUAUAAAUUCUUCAUCAUGUGGUCGCUCAAAUACAACCGUGCUGCUAAGCUCAUUAAGCAUUGCACCAAUCCCAGCCUCGAUAAGGCGGUCUUUGAAGUAGUAUGCAUUCCGCAAGCAUUUCUGCACUUCUUUCUGAAAGCCUCUGUAUCCUUUCCGGUUCAAGGUAUACCAAAGGAAUAUGGGAGCAUGGCCAUUUCGACUACCCAUGAUCGAUAGUCGCAUCCCUAGAAGCAAGGUAUUCCACAUUCCUGGAAAGACCAUUAAUAUGCUCCAAUCUUGUUAUCUGCACACCACAAGGCAUUGGGCACCCCACAAAUUUGUGGCCAGAAACACUGACACUGCCAAUAGGCUUCUUAAAAGUAACUUUUGGAGCCUGACAAAGCACAAUUUAUUUUUUAUUAAAUAAAAUAUUAUAAAUAUCAACUCUGUCGAUGCAUAUGAAAUGGAUACAAAAUAACAGAAUAUGGCACGAUCCAAGAAACUACAGGAAUAGUUCUCAUUUUAUAAAGCUAGCAGCCAAACAAUCACAUAUCGUCCAACAUAGAUGUAUUGACAAAGAAGCAACAAACUUAAUAUUCUCUAUUUUUUAAAUAUAACCAGGUCAGAAUAAAGACAAAAUUCUCAGACUUAAAUUUGAAAUAAGGGGUGCCAUUUCUUCUGAAUGUAAAUAGUCACCAAUAGUAAUGAUCAUAUUUGUAUAAAUUAGGCUAAUCAAUAAGCAUUAGAAAAGCAACUCAACUAUCAUAUAUGAACAAAGUUUGAUCAUAUAAUAAUUGGAAUAAGGUCUACGAAUAUGACCUUAUUGCUAAAGUGAAAAUGCAGAACAAGCUGGGUAAGAUAGAAAGGGCAUGCAUGGAAGAACCAAAAUGCAGUGUGCAAAUAUCAAAUAUGCAAACAACCAAAACAAAUGGCAAUGACACAUAAGCAUUCCCUAUCAGAACAUAUGGAGAUAGCAGAUGGAGGUUNNNNNNNNNNNNNNNNNNNNNNNNNNNNNNNNNNNNNNNNNNNNNNNNNNNNNNNNNNNNNNNNNNNNNNNNNNNNNNNNNNNNNNNNNNNNNNNNNNNNCCUCGGUCACGGUAAAAUAGAAAACAACCACCAUCGAAGACAACGAACAACAAACCUCAAUCAUUGCUCACCAUUUCGUCCUCUUUCCAUUCCAUCAACAAGGUGGUCUUGUUCUUGUUCAUUGUUGACAAGGUAUUUCUAGAUCAACCUCUUUUGUCAUUGCUUAUCUCUGUAGAGAAAAGGACAAAUAUUUGAAGAUGCUUUUCAAUUUCAAUAUUAUGUGAAGAAUGCUCGUGUUACAAAUCCUAACAUGGAUUUUGCUUGUCAAAUUUUACAAGUGUUAGAAAAGAGUUGUAAAUGUAAAUUCAAAUGCAAAUGUUAAUGCUAGCCUUCAAGUCCUAUUUAUGUUCUUGGGAUGUUAUAAAAUGGCCCCUCAUUCACCUAAUGGCCCUCUUAAUUGGGUGCCUAAAAUGGUGAUAAGCCAAUAAAACAUCAAAUGCAAAGCGUUUGUUUCUCGUGGUGCUUUUACUGUUCACGUUUCUUCUGCUACAUACAUAAGUUUGUAUUGUAAAAAUUGUAGUUCGGUUACGCAAGAUCAGCAGCUACGUUGAUCGUUCAUUAUGAGAAAUAAAUGCUUCAAAUCACAACAUAUGUGCAAAUGAUGAGCUAGUUGACUUUUUGGUUGCUCGCUCUAAAAACAAACAAUUUGACGGAGAAUCAAGGGUGUUAAUAUAAAAGAGAGGUGUUUUGUUUAUUUGAUUGAAAUUUAAGGGGGUUAGUGUUGGUUUUAAAACUAGAGGGGGUCUAACUGUCAUUUUAAUAAACCUUAGGGAAGGUAAAUGUAAUUUUCCCUUAACCAAUUUGCGAGAUUGUCUUUUACAUGAGUUGGGACCACUAUCAAGAUUGGUAGUCGAGUUCAGCUCCCACAUAAGGUGGCGAGCAUUACAAUGAGUAGGUUCAACUCCUGGUUUUGAAUCUCUUCUCACUUUUUCUUUGACUCAGAAACCAAUGAAAGAUAAAAAUCAUAGUGACUCUAAGAAAGCUUUCUUUUCCACAAGUUUUCAUCCAUCCGUUUUUUUAACUAACUUGGUAAUUGCAGCUUUCGCUGUGGAAACUGAACAAUAUAUGAUCAAUAACAAGCCAAGUAAUGGCUAUUUGACCAAAUUUAUAAGUACUAACAAUAUAAGGCCAAGUAAGUACGAUAGCAAAGACGAUUCUAAAUCUUAUAUAAGUGCAUCACAGUGCUGAUAAAACACAGCACAUAAAAAACUCGAAACAAACAACUACCGUUGUAAACUCUAGCUAGGUUCUAUUAGAUGCUACAAUUACUUAUGCUGAGCACAUAGGCAACUGUUUUCACCUACAUCUGAUGCUAUGCAAUACGGUUGAAAUGUACCAUCUUCAAACCAGGUAGCACGCUUCUGCACAAGCUCGUUUAGAAAAUCAUCAAGCUUCUCAAUAGUGACGUUUGGCAUCACCACCACAUGAGCGAUGUUCCCCUUGCAUGCUAACUGCCACUUGCGUAUAAAUUCUUCAUCAUGUGGUCGCUCAAAUACAACCGUGCUGCUAAGCUCAUUAAGCAUUGCACC